rnacentral:misc_RNA from 1 species
GCAGGGGGGUGAAAAUGCAGGUUCUCAAAAUAACAACUUUUGUGCAGUUACACUAGGAAGUAAAAUCUGUACACUCCAUUUGGGAAAAUUAGGAAAUGAAAAAGAAGUAUGAUUUAAAAAUCUUUAGCAGUAGAGUUCCACAUAUGAAUCAUCUCAGUUUGUUUCCUACUUCGCGCCUCGUUUGACUUGUAUCUGAAAUUAUACAUACACCAUGUGAAGAUCUGUCCCGUUUAACACACUCAGUUCCAGCUUCUUCUUGGCUUCCGAUUCUUUUGCUGAGAACGCCAAAAGCAAGCCAACGCUCCAAAUGCACAGCUCGCAACUGCAAUUGCCAAUGCAGCUCCAAGUGGAACCACAACUGCAUUUGUUGAAGCUACCAGCUCCUCAUUAACUGUUUUUUCAGUCCCAACACCUGCUUGCAACUCUUUGUCCUUGUAGAGAUUCACUAGCUCUUUCCCAUAGUAACUAACCAGAAACUUAAAGACCUCAUUCUCGUUCCAAUCAAUCUUACUGUUUUUAUCGCUCGUUUUGCCUGGGCUGAGAUAACAUGAAGGACAAAGUUGCUUUGGAGGCCAAGUAACUUUGGGAAAUUCAGGAUCACCUGUUCCUAGUGAUUCUUCAUCUUUCAUUAGUCGCUCAUUAACUUGGUUGUGGGCACUCCACAACCAGAGGGCAAAAUCACGCGCUUUCUUGAAAGGACUAGAUACACUUGAACACAUGCCAUGAAAGUGUUGCCUACAUUCCUCACAGACGAAAAAGUUGUAUAUAAAAUCACAGGUCGUUCUGAAUGCCAAGUCACUUUCUCCAUCCUCAACUCUGACAGAGAGCGAGUGUAAUAACACCCACAAACCGCAACUGAAACCUCUGGUAUCAUUCUUGCUGCCACGACAAUACAUCCAAUAUCCACGAGGAACCUCUUUCCCACAAAUUUGGUAAUUUCCCAGUGCACCCUUUUUGCUGCAGCUGUCAGCUUCAUUAUUCGCUAGCAAUAUCUCCGAAGGACAAAGAUUAUCAAAGUCAACCAGUAUAUCUGCACUGCCCUUCCGACACCUCUUAGAAGGAUGAUGAGCCACCAGAAGUUGAAGGAAUUUUAUAAGUGAAGCCCGAGUCCCUGAUUUAAUCAUUCUUUGGUCUAGAAUGAUGCCAAAGGCAGAAGACGUUGCCUCCUCAAUGUCAUAUAUAGCUUUGGCAAUCUGGCCAGGAUCCGAAAAGUUCCUCUGAAGAUGCUCAUUCUCAUACUUCCCAUCAUCGAAGCCAUAUGAGCUUCCCAGUUGUUUGUUGAUCCAACCUAGAAGGAUGUCAGCUGUGCGUCCUCUUUCAAUGGUGAGUAUUUCAUUAUUUUCUUGUUUUGGAUCCCAACCAACUAACUUCUUAGGAGGUCCCCAGAGAAGCAUUGGGUAAUACUUCACAGAGAACUUAUCACAAAGAUUAGAAUUUAUCUUUAAUGCACAGUCU